rnacentral:tRNA from 1 species
GAUCCGGUGGCCCGGCGGCAGGUUCCCGGUCCUGACCCGGGCUCGGUGACGGAGUCGUUCGAGGCGGGCCCGCAUCUC